rnacentral:lncRNA from 1 species
GUCCCAGAAGCUGGAGAAGCAGGAGAGGACCACCAUGAAGCUCCAGAAGCAGCUCAGAGCCUAUGCGAAGCAGAUCCAGGACUUCACAGUGAAGAGAGAGACCACCGGGCUGGGGCAGGAGCCAGCAGCGUCCCAAGCAGCCCCAUCCCCACCGGGGCUGUCCCAGGCCAUGCUGGCGUGGAGGAUGGAGGACGAAGGGCGCAUCAUCAAGGCCGUCAUCACAGAAGCACAGCGAUGA